rnacentral:rRNA from 1 species
AAUGAACGCUGGCGGCAGGCCUAACACAUGCAAGUCGAACGGAUCCUUCGGGAUUAGUGGCGGACGGGUGAGUAACGCGUGGGAACAUACCCUUUGGUACGGAAUAGCCUCGGGAAACUGGGAGUAAUACCGUAUGUGCUCUUCGGAGGAAAGAUUUAUCGCCAAAGGAUUGGCCCGCGUUGGAUUAGGUAGUUGGUGGGGUAAUGGCCUACCAAGCCGACGAUCCAUAGCUGGUUUGAGAGGAUGAUCAGCCACACUGGGACUGAGACACGGCCCAGACUCCUACGGGAGGCAGCAGUGGGGAAUCUUAGACAAUGGGGGAAACCCUGAUCUAGCCAUGCCGCGUGAAGGAUUAAGGCCCUAUGGGUUGUAAACUUCUUUUGUUUGGGAAGAAAUCUGGACAUUUAUGUGCAGUUGACGAUACCUUACGAAUAAGCACCGGCUAACUCCGUGCCAGCAGCCGCGGUAAU